AGUGAACGCUGGCGGUAGGCCUAACACAUGCAAGUCGAACGGCAGCACAGUAAGAGCUUGCUCUUACGGGUGGCGAGUGGCGGACGGGUGAGGAAUACAUCGGAAUCUACUUUUUCGUGGGGGAUAACGUAGGGAAACUUACGCUAAUACAGCAUACGACCUACGGGUGAAAGCAGGGGAUCUUCGGACCUUGCGCGAUUGAAUGAGCCGAUGUCGGAUUAGCUAGUUGGCGGGGUAAAGGCCCACCAAGGCGACGAUCCGUAGCUGGGCUGGGAGGAUGAUCAGCCACACUGGAACUGAGACACGGUCCAGACUCCUACGGGAGGCAGCAGUGGGGAAUAUUGGACAAUGGGCGCAAUCCUGAUCCAGCCAUACCGCGUGGGUGAAGAAGGCCUUCGGGUUGUAAAGCCCUUUUGUUGGGAAAGAAAAGCAGCAGGUUAAUACCCCGCUGUUCUGACGGUACCCAAAGAAUAAGCACCGGCUAACUUCGUG
rnacentral:rRNA from 1 species